UGGCGUAGGCGCACGAGAAGGGCAUGUCUGAGACAGGAUGUUGAUCCCAAAUGCCAGGAGUGGACGAGGCGGACGAGUGGCCGUGAAGCCAAGCCGGCAACCUCCUUGGCACUUGGGGACAGUCGCUUCCUCAGUUUCUGCGUACCGACUGUCUCACCUGACACGCGGCCUGGGCGCAAGAGAAGCCAACCAGGUGCCUGAGCUGACUGACUCCUUCCUCCCUCCUCCCUCCUCCCUCCAACCUCCAACCUCCAACCUCCGCCCUCCAACCUCCAACCUCCGCCCUCCAACCUCCUCCCUCCACCCUUGAACCUCCUCCCU
rnacentral:sRNA from 1 species